rnacentral:rRNA from 1 species
CGUAACAAGGUCUCCGUAGGUGAACCUGCGGAGGGAUCAUUACACAAAUAUGAAGGCGGGCUGGAACCUCUCGGGGUUACAGCCUUGCUGAAUUAUUCACCCUUGUCUUUUGCGUACUUCUUGUUUCCUUGGUGGGUUCGCCCACCACUAGGACAAGCAUAAACCUUUUGUAAUUGCAAUCAGCGUCAGUAACAAAUUAAUAAUUACAACUUUCAACAACGGAUCUCUUGGUUCUGGCAUCGAUGAAGAACGCAGCGAAAUGCGAUAAGUAGUGUGAAUUGCAGAAUUCAGUGAAUCAUCGAAUCUUUGAACGCACAUUGCGCCCUUUGGUAUUCCAAAGGGCAUGCCUGUUCGAGCGUCAUUUGUACCCUCAAGCUUUGCUUGGUGUUGGGCGUCUUGUCUCUAGCUUUGCUGGAGACUCGCCUUAAAGUAAUUGGCAGCCGGCCUACUGGUUUCGGAGCGCAGCACAAGUCGCACUCUCUAUCAGCAAAGGUCUAGCAUCCAUUAAGCCUUUUUUUCAACUUUUGACCUCGGAUCAGGUAGGGAUACCCGCUGAACUUAAGCAUAUCA